rnacentral:rRNA from 1 species
UACGAAGGGGGCUAGCGUUGUUCGGAAUUACUGGGCGUAAAGCGCACGUAGGCGGAUGAUUAAGUCAGGGGUGAAAUCCCGAGGCUCAACCUCGGAACUGCCCUUGAUACUGGCCAUCUCGAGUCCGGAAGAGGUUAGUGGAAUUCCCAGUGUAGAGGUGAAAUUCGUAGAUAUUGGGAAGAACACCAGUGGCGAAGGCGGCUAACUGGUCCGGUACUGACGCUGAGGAGCGAAAGCUAGGGGAGCAAACGGG